AAUAUCUGAUAUGCAGGAUAUCUGAUAUGUGACCUCACUGGGGGGUCAUGACCCACAGGUUGAGAACCUCUGUUAAAGGGAAAAUAUAAUGGGAUAUGAGAGGAAAAUGGACCAGAAGAUGACCCAAAAUUAAGACUGCAUGAACAGUCACUCAAACUCAGUUGAGAGUAUCCUCCCAAGGCUUGUUCUGCACCCCACUUUCAUGUUCCCUGAUAGAAAACUAGAAAGUCUUCUCACAGAGUCUUCUGAGAGAAGCAAAAUGAUAGAGCACUGUUCCAUUGUACCCAGUGGUACCAUUCCAGGUCAUAAAUCCACUGGUUCUGCAACCCUUGGCUCCCAGUGACUUGUCAAAAGACAAAUCAGAACGUACAGUGGUGUGCUCAGAAGCAAGGCCCUGUUCUCUGAAGUCAAUUUACAGAAGGCUUACGAGGGCUUAUUGAUUGAAAAUACCACAAUCACUCCUUUGGGCAGACUUCUCUGUAUUAAUUCUUCAAUCCACAUUGUACAAUGUUCAGAAACAAGACCCUCUGUUAUAGAUUUGUCUCCAUGAUGGAUACCCAUGUAGCUCACAGCAAGCAACCAAGAAGUUCUUUAAAAGUGGGAGCUUAAACAUAUUUGCGACAUCCCUCAAAUCUAGCUUAGUUGCUCUGUGUGUGAUCAAGCUGACCUGGGAACAAUAGGUAUUGAAAGAAUCUUAUAGUGUAUUUAGCAUCAGAAGAAAAAAAAGGCUUAUGAAAAACCAUGUGUUCGUCUGUUGAUGCCUUAAUGCCAGGACCCAUGUUUCCAAAAGACAAAAUUCAUGACUUAGUUUUGCCUCCGUCCAUUUUAAAUGGAAAAUUCCUUAUGCAGUUUCUGUUCAAAUCACCACGUGUGUGUGUGUGUGUGUGUGUGUGUGUUGUGUGUUAGAUACUAGAAACUUUACACACAGGCUUUGGAGUCCAACCCUAGCUCCAGAUCACAUGGUAUCUCAAGAAACUUUAAACCUGUGGAGUUUCCAUUUCCUUGUUUAUAAAUGUAAUUGUGAUCCACAACUUACAGGCGUGCUCCUAGAGCCUUAGAAAGUGUCUGCUGAAGAAGAAAUGAUGCCAUCACUGGUUUGUUUUGUUUUUUUUUUUUGUUUUGUUUUGUUUUUUGGAAUCUGCCCGACAGUUUUUCAGUUUGUGAGAACUUAUAUUCUGUGGCCUAUGAGAUGGCUUGUACCCACACUGUCAUUCUCAGCCCUUUCACUCUUGAAGAAAAAGAGGCGAUGCCCACCAGAUCUCAGCUGUGUGAUUCAGCAUUUUCCCUCGGCAAGCAGCUGCCAGCAAGGCAGACACUUGCAAGGCUAACUCCAGGGGACAAGAGAUAGAGCCAGCCAGAUAGACAAGUCACACCAAACCAUUUCAGACAAUGCCAGGUGAUAGUCAGUGGUAAUGUUUUGUGUACAAUGUAUAUAUCUAUAUGAGUGCAUAUUGGGUAGAUUUUGAAUAAAUGGAAACAGUAAAACCUUACACACGUCAGAAACUGACCAAUUAGAAGUAACAGGCUCUAUCUGCAGAUCACUCUAUACAAUACACACCAGACUACUGCUUCCCUCCUCAACCACGAGAUCUGUAGUCAUUUCAAGCUUGGUUUCCAUGAACUUAGCCUGAAUCCCUGCUGAGUGCCUAUCUAGUUCAGUUUUUCCAAACUGGAAAAAUAAAAUUAAAAAAAAAAGUGGUGGCGGUUGAUACAUGUGCCACACCACUGCCCUCUCUGACUCCUCUGUCUGGUCGCUCACUCUGUUCAUGAAGCUUUCCUCCUUGAGAGUGUACUCCAUGUUCAGGGUCCACAGAGAGGAAUGCCAUUAAGGGUAUGACACCUUCAGGGUCUCCAAGAGCGGGGAAUGUUUGGCUUAUGACAAAAUCUCUAAAUGAUGUCCAGAUAUGUCUCUUUCAAAAGCUAGUUAGUUGCAAGAGCGACACCCAUGUUUCCUUGUGUUCUACCUUUGCUCGCUUCCUUUUGCUGAUCAGAAGGGGCUGUCGCAAAUUGAUGGGCUGGGGACCUGUAAAUCUUCCCAGCAUUACUGACAAUCUAGAGCUUGUGUGGAGGUGUCUCUGAUAGGAAGGGUCUCAAUAAACACCUUGUACGUGCCCCCACCCCACCCCCACUGAACUGUCUGGAUCCAAACAGUCUCCAAAUAACUGACACUUUUCCAGAAGCCGUUGUCUGGCACAGCUCCAGGUGUGUUUACCAUUUAUCAAAAGCCAUUUCCUUAUUUAUUUAAAAAAUAAAAAUAAAAAACGUGUCAGGCUGACAGUGCUGCCGGAUGAGGCAUUCUGGGCUCACCAGAACAGACUUUCCCACCUCUUCUCUUCCACAUUUUCACUCCUGUUAGGACUGAAAGGAAAAUAUUUAGGGUUUCUGUUUUCUUUUUCUCUUUUUUUCAACUAAGGGGAGCAGUUGUUCUACUAUCAUGCCGCAACCUUGUUAGGCCCUAAAUUGUCUUGAAAUCUUGCUCGACAUCCGUGAAGGGUAAUCUGUGGUUCCAUUGCUCUUUUAACCAAGUAAA
rnacentral:sRNA from 1 species